rnacentral:lncRNA from 1 species
GACAUUUUUCUGGCUAGAAACAGAGUUGGCGCAGUGAGGUGUCAAGUUCAAAGGAGACCCUGAAAAGAUCUAAGCCCGAUUUGAGCCAAAGCCUUGGGAGGAAGUUGCAACUGCCCUGGAGCCAAAUGCAUCCUGCAAACAGCCAAGUGGAAGAUCUCACACAGAAGCCGUUUGUAAAUGGUUCCCAGGUGGCUACAACACAGCAAACUUUGAGACUUCAGACUCCCAGCGCUCAUCUUCCCAAUGAUCCAUCCCAGAAAGGUGAACAUAUGACAAUGUUUCUAGAAGAAAAGGAGUUAUUGGAGACUCAACAAAACCAGGAUUUGGAAGAGGACAGGCAAAUAUUAUUUGACAGAGCUAGAAGCUCAGCUGCGAGCUCCUUUCCAUCCAUUGGAGAAGGGUAUCCUGCUCGGUGGGGAUUUUUUUUUUCAGACACGUGGUGACUGAUGCUUGUGUCUAGGGAAGAAAUUUUGACCCCACUGUUGAACUGUGUUGGGAGAUCUGGAUUCCAGAACGUUCACAUGGAUCUCUCAGUGAUCCUGAUUUGUCCCUGUGAGCCUUGCUUUCACCCCACCACAAGGAGGAAUGGUGAACUUCGUCUUCACUGUGAAAUGUGCUCUUCAUGCAGGCAACCAAACCAAAGAAAGAGAUGAUCAGAUCUGUGUAAUGGAACACUCCAGUGCUGAUUGGUUGGGGGGAAAAGACUCCCCCAUGCUUGUCUUUUUAUUUUGAAACGAUCAAUGGCCACAAGCGCAUUAAGUUAUACUCUUGAUGUAUCUAGUUGCAAGGUAAGAAGCCUGUGUAAAGAGUUGACUUAAUAUCUGCAUAGGUGAAGUGGAGAGAUACUGGAUGGGCACGCAUGCGCAUGCCUGCUUCCCAGGGACUUGGCUUUGAUCUGGAGUGAUCUCCCCCUUGGUGACCCCUUGGCUGGCUACUAAGUCUAAAUAGUUGUCUGGCAUCCUUUCUCUUGGUCUCUUUGUUCUUUUAUUCAACAAUUGCGUCUUAAAACCCAAGAAGCCACCAGGGACUCCCACACAGGUGGUGGAUCUUUUAUCUGUUCCUCUGUGUUGUGAGAUACACUGGGCCUAACACACUUCCGGGGUAAUCCAGCUUUUGUAUACUCAGGGCAGCUAGUUUAAAAAUGUGACUGGAGGUAUCUUGGCUUCUGCAGCUGGUAUCUCUGGAUAGUUGAUUUAGCUACAGCAUUGUUGACUACGCCUGUAUGCCUGUAUUCAAGAUCGAAAACGCCAGCUGUGCUGCAAUCCACACACAGGUCAAUAUACAG